GAUGAAGAACGUAGCGAAAUGCGAUACUUGGUGUGAAUUGCAGAAUCCCGUGAACCAUCGAGCCUUUGAACGCAAGUUGCGCCCGAAGCCAUUAGGCCGAGGGCACGCCUGCCUGGGCGUCACACGUCGUUGCCCCCCCAUCUACUCCUUCGGGAUUGCGGGGGGCGGAUGAUGGCCUCCCGUGCGCCUCGCCGCGCGGUUGGCAUAAAUGCCAAGUCCUCGGCGACGCACGCCACGACAAUCGGUGGUUGCGAAACCUCGGUUGCCCGUCGUGUGCGGUCGUCGCGCAUCGAGGGCUCGAAAAAAUUGCCGGGUUCCGGCUCGGCUUUCAACGCGACCCCAGGUCAGGCGGGGUUACCCGCUGAAUUUAAGCAUAUCAAUAAGCGGAGGA
rnacentral:misc_RNA from 1 species